rnacentral:lncRNA from 1 species
UGUAUAUAUAUAUAUAUAUCUGUACCUCAGAGGUAUAGGACAUUAUGUCAUAAACCUCUGAAGUACAGAUAUGAUAAAUAUAAGCCCUGCUACAUAUGCACUUUCGACAGAGACCCUUUCAUCUGCAUUGAAUACCUGUUCAGGAAGAUAUCCUUUAUUCUCAAUUGUUUUUCUUUUAAUUAUUCUAGAUAAGUCUUUGCAGCUGAGGCUGUUUCUCCAACUAGCUAUAUUAUGAAGGUUAUGACAAUGGGGGAAACACCCAAAUUAGACUGGCUAGAACUCUGCCCUAGUUGUUCAUAUAUUUUCAGUGAUUUUUUACAUAUGAUUGAACUAUACUUGACAAGAACAUUGGAAGUCAGUAUUGAAUCUAUAGGAGUGGUAUUUUAUCAACUUUUUAGUGGUAUUAAUGUGCAUGGAACAGUCGAUUUUGACAUAAAAGGUAACAGUGUCAGUAAGAAUAAUGUUUAUUUUUA